CGGAUUGCAGUCUGAAACUCGAGUGCAUGAAGCUGGAAUCGCUAGUAAUCGCAAAUCAGAAUGUUGCGGUGAAUACGUUCCCGGGUCUUGUACACACCGCCCGUCACACCAUGGGAGUUGGAAAUGCCCGAAGUCAGUGACCCAACCUAAGGGAGGGAGCUGCCGAAGGCAGGUUCGAUGACUGGGGUGAAGUCGUAACAAGGUAUC
rnacentral:rRNA from 1 species